UUUUGGGGUAAAUUCCUCCGGUUUUGGGUCUGUCCGCCAUUUUAUGGCGUUCCAUGAAGGUUUGGGGUCUUUUGGAGGGUUUCAAAGGGGGAUUUUGGGGUGAAUUCCUCCGAUUUUGGGUCUGUCCGCCAUUUUAUGGCGUUCCAUGAAGAUUUGGGGUCAUUUGGGGGGAUUUUGGGGUCUUUUGGGGGGUUUCAAAGGGAGAUUUUGGGGUAAAUUCCUCUGGUUUUGGGUCUGUCCACCAUUUUAUGGCAUUCCAUGAAGAUUUGGGGUCAUUUGGGGGGAUUUGGGGGUCUUUUGGGGGGUUUCGAAGGGGGAUUUUGGGGUAAAUUCCUCCACUUUUGGGUCUGUUGUCCAUUUUUUGGUAUUCCAUUAAAAUUUGGUGUCAUUUGGGGGGAUUUUGGGGUCUUUUGGGGGGUUUCAAAGGGGGGUUUUGGGGUAAAUUUCUCCGGUUUUGGGUCUGUUGUCCAUUUUUUGGUAUUCCGUUAAAGUUUGGGGUCAUUUGGGGGGAUUUUGGGGUCUUUUGGGGGUUCAAAAGGGGGAUUUUGGGGUGAAUUCCUCCGGUUUUGGGUCUGUCCGCCAUUUUAUGGCAUUCCGUGAAGGUUUGGGGUCAUUUGGGGGUCUUUUGGGGGGUUUCAAAGGGGAGUUUUGGGGUAAAUUCCUCUGGUUUUGGGUCUGUCCGCCAUUUUAUGGCGUUCCAUGAAGGUUUGGGGUCUUUUGGAGGGUUUCAAAGGGGGAUUUUGGGGUGAAUUCCUCCGAUUUUGGGUCUGUCCGCCAUUUUAUGGCGUUCCAUGAAGAUUUGGGGUCAUUUGGGGGGAUUUUGGGGUCUUUUGGGGGGUUUCAAAGGGAGAUUUUGGGGUAAAUUCCUCUGGUUUUGGGUCUGUCCACCAUUUU
ensembl:lncRNA